UCGGUUCGGAAUAACCAAGGGAAACUUUGGCUAAUACCGGAUACGUGCGAGAGCAGAAAGAUUUAUCGCCGAUGGAUCGGCCCGCGUCCGAUUAGCUAGUUGGUGAGGUAACGGCUCACCAAGGCGACGAUCGGUAGCUGGUCUGAGAGGAUGAUCAGCCACACUGGGACUGAGACACGGCCCAGACUCCUACGGGAGGCAGCAGUGGGGAAUAUUGGACAAUGGGCGCAAGCCUGAUCCAGCCAUGCCGCGUGAGUGAUGAAGGCCUUAGGGUUGUAAAGCUCUUUCGCACGCGACGAUAAUGACGGUAGCGUGAGAAGAAGCCCCGGCUAACUUCGUGCCAGCAGCCGCGGUAAUACGAAGGGGGCUAGCGUUGCUCGGAAUCACUGGGCGUAAAGGGCGCGUAGGCGGAUCUUUAAGUCGGGGGUGAAAGCCCAGGGCUCAACCCUGGAAUUGCCUCCGAUACUGGGGAUCUAGAGACCGGAAGAGGUGAGUGGAACUGCGAGUGUAGAGGUGAAAUUCGUAGAUAUUCGCAAGAACACCAGUGGCGAAGGCGGCUCACUGGUCCGGAUCUGACGCUGAGGCGCGAAAGCGUGGGGA
rnacentral:rRNA from 1 species